rnacentral:rRNA from 1 species
UACGUACGAGGCGAGCGUUAUCCGGAAUUACUGGGCGUAAAGAGCGCGCAGGCGGUCGUCCAAGUCGCGUGUGAAAGCCCCCGGCUCAACUGGGGAGGGUCACGCGAUACUGGUCGACUCGAAGGCAGGAGAGGGUAGUGGAAUUCCUGGUGUAGCGGUGGAAUGCGCAGAUAUCAGGAGGAACACCAAUAGCGAAGGCAGCUCGCUGGGACGUUACUGACACUAAGGCGCGAAAGCGUGGGGAGCGAACAGG